CAAGUCGCGCGACAGACCUUCGGGUUAUGGACGGCGAACGGGUGAGUAACACGUGAUUAACCUGUCCCUACGUUCCGGAUAAUUGGGAGAAAUCCCUUGUAAUACGGGCGAGGAUGGCGAUGAGGCAUCUCAUUGCUAAGGAAGGUCUAGGGGCAACUCUUAGGUCGUGCAGGGAGGGGAUCGCGGAUUAUCAGCUAGUAGGUGGGGUAACGGCCUACCUAGGCGACGACGAUUAGCUGGUCUGAGAGGAUGGUCAGCCACAUUGGAACUGAGACACUGUCCAGACUCCUACGGGAGGCUGCAGUCGAGAAUCUUGGGCAAUGCACGAAAGUGUGACCCAGCGACGCCGCGUGGAGGAUGAAGGACUCUUGGUUCGUAAACUCCUUUUAGGGGAGAAGAAGGAGGGUAACCAUCUUGACGGUAUCCCCUGAAUAAGCCACGGCUA
rnacentral:rRNA from 1 species